UACGGAGGGUGCAAGCGUUAAUCGGAUUUAUUGGGCGUAAAGGGCGCGUAGGCGGACAGGAAAGUAGGAUGUGAAAUCCCGGGGCUCAACCCCGGAACGGCAUUCUAAACUCCCUGUCUCGAGGAUGGACGGAGAAGACGGAAUACCAUGUGUAGCGGUGAAAUGCGUAGAUAUAUGGCAGAACACCGGUGGCGAAGGCGGUCUUCUAGUUUAUUCCUGACGCUGAGGCGCGAAAGCAAGGGGAGCAAACAGG
rnacentral:rRNA from 1 species